CCCACUCUGUUAUCCCUGGAGUUGGCUUGGAUUCACCCUGAAGCCUUCCCCCUCCCGGGGAAAGUUGCUUCACGUUGCAGCUCAGCAGGUUUGUCCAGCUACAUAGGCUCCAGAAAACAAGAAGCAAGACUGGAAAGCUGGGGAUGAUUGUACGCCCUCGCCUGAAUCUUACGUGGUUCCUCCUUCUUCCACCUGGCCAGUGCAGAGCCGUGGGUGCCACGUGGCCACUUCUGGAUUGGGUUCCCCUUGGCCUGCCACCCUGUCCUUCUGCUUUCCCACUUUGCCAGCCAGAGUCAAUUUGAGGACGCCAAGUUCUCCUCUCCAUACAGAGCUCCUGGUCUCCUUGUAACUUGUAACUCCUGGGCACAGUUACAAGUGCUGAAUUCUUGCGAGGAUGAACUCAAGAUACAAAAUAUGCUUGGCAACUCACCCCUGAGUGGCCACAGGCACACGCAGGAGUCGAACCCACCCACCUCUGCUGACAGUCAUGGGUCAAGCUCAAAGUCCUGGCUGCUUCUCUGCUCAAGAUCUGUGCCCGCAGAGAGAGCCUGCUCCAGCCUCUUUGCUACAGCCUUGAGUCUUCUGCUAAGAAAAGACACAGAGGCAAAGAGAAACACAUAGAGAGGAGAAUGCCUCGUGAAAAUGGAGACCGAGAUUGGUGCAAUGUGUCCACAAGCCAGGGAAUGCCAACGUGGCCAGCAACCACCAGAAGCUGGGAGAGAGGCAUGGAACAGAGUCCUCGGAGCCUCCAGAAGGAACCAACCCUGUUGAUACCUUGACUGAAAACUUCCAGCCUCCAGAACUGUGACAGAAUUAAUUUCUGUUAUUUAAAGCCAUUCAGUCUGUGGUAAUUUGUUACAUCAGCCCUGAAUAGCAAAUACAGAUGACCCAGGUUUAAAUCCUAGUUCUGCCACUUAUGAGCGUGGGUACAUAACUACUUUCUAGAGCCCCGGUUUCCUCAUCUGUAAAAAACCUCAUACGGUUAUUAAGAAGAUCAAAUGAGAUACAAACAUAAAUUCUUAACAGUGCUGGCAUGUUAAUUGUUCAAUAAAUAUGAGUUAUUUACAACAAUUGUGAUAGUAAUGAGUAACACAGAGAAAUGAGAAUUGACUUAACAG
rnacentral:lncRNA from 1 species